GUGUGGCCCAGACAGGGCACCGUCUGUGGCCCCGGGGGUUGAGGACCUCUGGCUUCAACAACAGAAAUACCCCAGUUACUGGAUUGGGAUCCACCCUAACUCAAUAUGGCCUCAGCUUAAUGAAAGACAUCUGCAAAGACCCUAUUUUUACUAAAAGCCACAUUCUGAGACUUCUCGUGGGCAUGAGUUUUUGAGAGACACUGUUCUGCUCCAUGCAGGGAGGGAAUUGGGAUCUGAAGACGUGCAGUCGAGGUCUCGGGGCUCCUGAUGAGCAGCCUCGGCCUGACCUGGGGCAGGUGUGAUGUCUGUGGCUCACCAUUUCCACUCUGCCUGCUGUGGAAUCUCCAUCACAGCGACAGGUGCUUUGGAGGCCGGAGUGCAUGAGUACGGGCCCUGCACACGCUGAAUGUCACUGGGAACACAGACACACCCCGCUUCCAGGAGAAGAUAGAACACAUCGGCCCCUUUUGCUUUCGCUCUGUUGCCCAGGCUGGAGUUCAGUCAGCCUCGAACUCACAGGCUUAGGUGAUCCUCCCACCUCAGCCUCCUCAGUAGCUGGGACUACAGAGCCAUCCCCAGUGCAGGACAUGUUGUUGACUUGCACGAGACAAAUACCUACUUGGAAAUCAGAUUUUUUCUGUACCUUUUGAAGGAGCAGGAAUUUCCCAGAAUUUCCUGGACAAAGACAGAGGCCACAUUCCCUGCAUCCUUUCCAGAAAGAUGUAAUUCUGAGAUUUUUGUCAUUCCUGGGCAUUAUCUUAUGAGGACUGCCAUGGGAGGAAAGUUUUCUUCUAAGCUGCAAGCCAGCUCUGGCUUCUGGAGUUUCUCCUUAGGAUUGC
rnacentral:lncRNA from 1 species